AUUCAGAGCAUCCGAUGCUAUGAUAGAGAGGAUUUGCAUCUACUGAGGAAGAGGCGUGCAUUUCUUUCCUUUCAACACCUUACGAGAAGCAUGAGAAUGAUACAACCAGUGAUCUUAGAGAAGUUCCUUUCAAUCCAAUCUAUGUAGAGGUAGUCGAAGGAAGUUUAUGGAUGAAGGACAUUCAGAAGUGAGCAAAGAUGUUUUUAGAUAGAGCAGAAGUCAGCGCAGAUGGAGAAGAUAUGAUCAACUGUUUCAGGGGUUUGCCCA
rnacentral:lncRNA from 1 species